GUGUCAGCAGCCGCGGUAAUACGGAGGGGGCAAGCGUUGUUCGGAAUUACUGGGCGUAAAGGGCGCGUAGGCGGUCCGAGAAGUUGGGCGUGAAAGGCCUGGGCUUAACCCGGGGAUUGCGCUCGAGACUGACGGGCUGGAGACCGGGAGAGGAUGGCGGAAUUCCCAGUGUAGAGGUGAAAUUCGUAGAUAUUGGGAAGAACACCGGUGGCGAAGGCGGCCAUCUGGACCGGCACUGACGCUGAGGCGCGAAAGCGUGGGGAGCAAACAGGAUUAGAAACCCCGGUAGUCC
rnacentral:rRNA from 1 species